rnacentral:rRNA from 1 species
GAGACAGGUUAGUUUUACCCUACUGAUGGAGUGUUAUCGUAAUAGUAAUUGAGCGUAGUACGAGAGGAACUGCUCAUUCGGAUAAUUGGUAUUUGCGGCUGUCCGAUCGGGCAAUGCCGCGAAGCUAUCAUCCGCUAGAUUAUGGCUGAACGCCUCUAAGUCAGAAUCUGUGCUAGAAACGAUGAUGUUGGUCCCGCACAUGUUAGAUGUGUUACAAUAGAGCUUUGCUCGUGAACCAUACCAUGGAGUCUGGGCGUGCUUGGGGAAAUCCUCGUACGUCCUCUCCUCAUUGAAAUUUAAAUAUGCGCGGGGGUGAAUCCUUUGCAGACGACUUAAAUCGGAACGGAGU